CGCGCAGGCGGGUCAAUAAGUCAGAGGUGAAAUCCUACAGUUUAACUGUAGAACUGCCUUUGAUACUGUUGAUCUUGAGUAUGGAAGAGAGAGACGGAAUUCCAGGUGUAGUGGUGAAAUACGUAGAUAUCUGGAAGAACACCAGUUGCGAAGGCGGUCUCUUGGUCCAAUACUGACGCUGAGGCGCGAAAGCGUGGGUAGCAAACA
rnacentral:rRNA from 1 species